GGUAAACGUUUGUAUCCAGCUUGCAGGUAAAGGGUUACAGAUUCUAGGAAGUAUUAAAUGCAAACUUUAAAGGAUUUUAUUUUCAUCUACAGUCACAUGACACCUUAAUACCCAAUGACACUAACUACAGUAUCUCAUUAAGAGGUCAUGCAAACUCCCAAGCUAAACAAGGCAUUCUUACAUAUUUAACAUUCAAAUGCAGAAGCCAAGCUAAGCCAUGGAAGAUUGUAAUCAGAAAAGAGCUGCACUUCCUGAUCAGCAAAAAAGCUACAGGUUAUUUUGGAAUGUGAAAACUACUUGUUGCUUGGAUCCAUGACAACCAUGCAGAUACUAUUGACUUGGAUAAACAACCUACACUGACAUGGAUCAAGACAUUUAAAACAAACUUUUCAAGCAGUCAAUGGAGUACAAACUGAUUGUGUGCAGGAGAGAGGAAAGCUGCCUGCUGGGAAGAGAAGGGGCAACAGCUAUGAUCAAAAGUCAACAGGGGACUUCAUAUACAGAGAAAUACUGUCAGGAAGCCACUAAGGGUAAGUGGAAGAUCUGGCUGACCUUACUGGUUUGGAAAGCAGGAUGUUUUGAGGAGGAGCUAAUAGGACUUAACAUAACUAUGAAUAUUAUUAUGUUUUGUGGAAGAUCAACAGGCAAUAACCAAUGGUUACAACCUAAAACAAAAUGCCUUUUGCAGAACUGAUAGCAUCUACUUUUCAUUACCUUCUCCUUCUGCCAACACACCUGCA
rnacentral:lncRNA from 1 species